CUACAGCCAAUUAAGCCAACCAUGCUACUUUCCUCUGGGAGGCCUGGUGUGCAAUGGCUGCAAAUAGCAGCCUCCCUGGUAGUAUAUGCAGCCUGUUGCUUAUAUGGGUUGCUCUAAGGGACCUUGGAGAGUCAU
ensembl:snoRNA SNORA70 Small nucleolar RNA SNORA70